rnacentral:rRNA from 1 species
AUUGAACGCUGGCGGCAUGCCUUACACAUGCAAGUCGAACGGCAGCACGGGAGCAAUCCUGGUGGCGAGUGGCGAACGGGUGAGUAAUAUAUCGGAACGUGCCCAGUCGUGGGGAUAACGUAGCGAAAGCUACGCUAAUACCGCAUACGAUCUAUGGAUGAAAGCGGGGGAUCGCAAGACCUCGCGCGAUUGGAGCGGCCGAUAUCAGAUUAGGUAGUUGGUGAGGUAAAGGCUCACCAAGCCGACGAUCUGUAGCUGGUCUGAGAGGACGACCAGCCACACUGGGACUGAGACACGGCCCAGACUCCUACGGGAGGCAGCAGUGGGGAAUAUUGGACAAUGGGCGAAAGCCUGAUCCAGCAAUGCCGCGUGAGUGAUGAAGGCCUUAGGGUUGUAAGCUCUUUUACCCGAGAUGAUAAUGACAGUAUC